UACAGAGGGGGCAAGCGUUGUUCGGAAUUACUGGGCGUAAAGGGCGCGUAGGCGGCCCGCUAAGUCGAACGUGAAAUCCCCGGGCUCAACCCGGGAACUGCGUCCGAUACUGGCAGGCUUGAAUCCGGGAGAGGGAUGCGGAAUUCCAAGUGUAGCGGUGAAAUGCGUAGAGAUGUGGAGGAACACCAGUGGCGAAGGCGACUCUCUGGUCUGUAACUGACGCUGAGGCGCGAAAGCGUGGGGAGCAAACAGG
rnacentral:rRNA from 1 species